GAGUUUGAUCCUGGCUCAGAGCGAACGCUGGCGGCAGGCUUAACACAUGCAAGUCGAGCGCCCCGCAAGGGGGAGCGGCAGACGGGAGAGUAACACGUGGGAACGUACCCUUCAGUUCGGAACAACCCAGGGAAACUUGGGCUAAUACCGAAUACGUCCGUAAGGAGAAAGAUUUAUCGCUGAAGGAUCGGCCCGCGUCUGAUUAGCUAGUUGGUGAGGUAACGGCUCACCAAGGCGACGAUCAGUAGCUGGUCUGAGAGGAUGAUCAGCCUCACUGGGACUGAGACACGGCCCAGACUCCUACGGGAGGCAGCAGUGGGGAAUAUUGGACAAUGGGCGCAAGCCUGAUCCAGCCAUGCCGCGUGGAUGAUGAAGGCCCUAGGGUUGUAAAGUCCUUUUAACGGGGAAGAUAAUGACGGUACCCGUAGAAUAAGCCCCGGCUAACUUCGUGCCAGCAGCCGCCGUAAU
rnacentral:rRNA from 1 species